AGCGAACGCUGGCGGCAGGCCUAAUACAUGCAAGUCGAGCGCACCCUCGGGUGAGCGGCGGACGGGUGAGUAACGCGUGGGAACGUGCCCUUUGGUACGGGAUAACUGAGGGAAACUUCAGCUAAUACCGUAUGUGCCCUACGGGGGAAAGAUUUAUCGCCAUUGGAGCGGCCCGCGUUGGAUUAGGUGGUUGGUGAGGUAAAGGCUAACCAAGCCUACGAUCCAUAGCUGGUCUGAGAGGAUGAUCAGCCACACUGGGACUGCGACACGGCCCAGACUCCUACGGGAGGCAGCAGUAGGGAAUCUUGCGCAAUGGGCGAAAGCCUGACGCAGCCAUGCCGCGUGAAUGAUGAAGGUCUUAGGAUUGUAAAAUUCUUUCACCGGGGAAGAUAAUGACGGUACCCGGAGAAGAAGCCCCGGCUAACUUCGUGCCAGCCGCCGCGGUAAUAC
rnacentral:rRNA from 1 species